CUGACAAAAGCGCCCUCUGGGAAAAUAAAAUGAUUAAGCUCGAAAGAAAAAGCUCGCACUUCUGGUUCUUGCUUCGUUUCGUUAACAUUCAGAGGACAACUUCAUCCGAAUCAAGCAGCUACCAUGGCUGAUUUACUGCCCAAGGAAGUCGAAAAGGCACAAUUCGCCUUCUCAAUUUAUGAUGCCGAUGGCUCAAAUGUCAUCGACGCCUUCGAUCUAGGAAAUGUUCUACGUGCCCUCAAUUGCAAUCCAACAAAUGCAACUAUUCAGAAAUUUGGUGGCACUGAAAAACGUGGCGAGAAAACAAUGUGCGUCGAGGAAUUUCUUCCAAUUUUCAGUGACGCAAAGAAAGACAAAGAUCAAGGAUGCUACGAGGAUUUCCUCGAAUGUUUGAAACUCUACGAUAAACAGGAAAAUGGAACCAUGCUCUUGGCUGAACUCUCUCAUUUAUUAGUUACCCUUGGCGAAAAAUUAGUCGAAUCCGAAGUUGAGGAAGUCUUCAGAGACUGCUUGGACCCCGAAGAUGAAGAUGGUUUCAUCCCCUACAACCCAUUCAUCAAGAAAUUUAUGGCGUAAAUUAUGCAGCGAGAAACGAGAGAUUCAUAGGCGUUUAAAAAAUGAGGUCGUCAAUCCAUUCCUGAAACGACUAUGCGAAAGGGCAGCAGCAGGUUCCGAAGAUUAAUUAAUUCAUCAUUAUUUUUUCUCCUCUCCAACGAGGGAAAAUUAUU